GAAAGCUACCGUAUAGGGAUGAGCCUGCGUACCAUUAGCUAGUAGGUGGGGUAACGGCNCACCUAGGCAACGAUGGUUAGCGGGUCUGAGAGGAUGAUCCGCCACACUGGAACUGGAACACGGACCAGACUCCUACGGGAGGCAGCAGUGAGGAAUAUUGCGCAAUGGGGGCAACCCUGACGCAGCGACGCCGCGUGAGUGAGGAAGGUUUUCGGAUUGUAAAGCUCUGUCAGAAGGGAAGAAAUGCUAUGUGGUUAAUAUCCAUGUAGUUUGACGGUACCUUCAGAGGAAGCACCGGCUAACUCCGUGCCAGCAGCCGCGGUAAUACGGAGGGUGCAAGCGUUGUUCGGAAUUACUGGGCGUAAAGGGCGCGUAGGCGGGCUUGAUAAGUCAGAUGUGAAAAGUCCAUGGCUCAACCGUGG
rnacentral:rRNA from 1 species